GGCUUAUAAUCCUCAACUAUAUGGGAGACCUUAUAGAAAUGAAGAUAAAAGUAAAAUGGAGAUAAAAGUCCCAACUUGAAAGAGGUUUGUGAGGGUUAAAUUGCAUGCAGUUUGGUGAUCACACUAAAUCAAACAGCACUCGAAUUAAAAUGGCAUGACCAAGGAUUUGAUCCUGGACAUCAAAAGGUUUGUUCCUGACACAGAUCUACUCCACUGACCCCAUUGGCAGCCAGCAGAAGUGGAUGGAGGAUGGGGCUAUUGGGUCUGAGAGUUCUUUUGUGCCUAAGCAAGGACAUCUUUUCCCAGACCCUCCUGAAGUGUAUAUUUUGCAUUGUUUGCCCUGGUUGCAUUGCCAGCUUGGUUCUGUUAGUCAUCAUUUGCUCACUAUGUUUUGGUUUAAUUGUCACAAAAUCCCUAUGAAGAAGACGUUAUUAUCUCCACACCAGGAAAUCAAGACUAUGGACCAUUAACUGCUUUCCCAAAAGCACACAACUAAGAAAGUGGCAGGGUUGGGAAUCAAGCCCUUGCUGUCCACAGGACCAGACCAAGACAUAGGAUGCCCAAGGGCAACUAAGAAUUUUGCAUAACUUCAAACUGAUAUUCCAUAAGCACUUUUUAAAAAAUAUGCGCUUAACAGUUAUCUAGUGUGCUCUAGCAGGAGACCCCAUACAAGGGUUAUACGAGGAGUUGUAGAUGGAGACCAGUUAACUAGCACCGAUUUCCUGAGUUAUAUCAGUGGUAUUUUAGUGCCAGUGUGGACUGGUACCCAGGUGCUUCCAGCUGGGAUUAAUGUAUUCAGUUCUCACUGCACUCCUGUGUCUCUCAGAAAAUGAUAACACCCUCACCCCAUCUUCUACUCCUGAAAGUGUCUCGGAGGUUAGUUCCUCAUUUGGGUAGUCAGUAGGUGAUGCUCCAGAUUCCCCCUACUCACUGCUGCUUCCAUCUGACAGUAUCACUGUUAUCGACAUCAUACUGCAUAUACCAGGUCCUCAUACAAUACCUUUGCACGGGGAAGUGGGUAGGGAAAGGAAUGGGUUCUGCAGCCAAAGAAUAUUUGGUUGUUAAAGAAAAAAGUUUUUCUAGGUGACAUGAUUAGCUUUGUUGCACGUCUGAAUCUGAGAAAGAGAAAGAGAUCUGACUUAAGGAAGUUCAGUUGCACACGUUGAAAUGAAUAUAUUUCUAUUUGUUUGACUUGAGCAUUUUGUUCUUUAUAUAUGUGUAUUCAUACAGUAAUGUAACAAAUAUAAUAGAGAAUAAUAUAGGUUAAAAUCCCCAUCUGAGAUCAUUGUAAAUAAUGUAUUCUAUGAAUUACAGCCAUUCUCCUAUCCCCAUCCAAGGUUUCCGUUUCUAUGGUUUCCAUUACCUGUGGUCAAC
rnacentral:lncRNA from 1 species